AUACUUACCUGGCACAGGAGAUUACCGUGAUCAGGCGAAGGCGGUUCUCCCAGGGGCGAGGCUAACCAUUGCACUCGUGGCGCGAACCCCUGCGAUUAACACAAAUGUGGUUAACUCGAGUGCGCCAAAUUUUGUUAGUGGGGACUGCGUUCGCGCUAUCCCCC
rnacentral:snRNA from 1 species